rnacentral:rRNA from 1 species
AUUGAACGCUGGCGGCAGGCCUAACACAUGCAAGUCGAGCGGAGCGGCGGACGGGUAAGUAAUGCCUAGGAUUCUGCCUGGUAGGGGGGGUUAACGUCCGGAAACGGGCGCUACUCCCGCAUACUUUCAGAUAGGCCUAGGUCGGAUUAGCUAGUUGGUGGGGUAAAGGCCUACCAAGGCGACGAUCCGUACCUGGUCUGAGAGGAUGAUCAGUAACACUGGAACGGAGACACGGUCCAUACUCCUACGGGAGGCAGCAGUGGGGAAUAUUGGACAAUGGGCGAAAGCCUGAUCCAGCCAUGCCGCGUGUGUGAAGAAGGUCUUCGGAUUGUAAAGCACUUUAAGUUGGGAGGCGUUACCAACAGAAGAAGCACCGGCUAACUUCGUGCCAGCAGCCGCGGUAAUAC